GAAAAACAGCAACCUUUGUUGAACGGAUCUUCUAUAAUUUUGUAUGUGUAUCCUCUCUUUAAUUAUUUAAUAAUAACAAUAGGAAAAAAAGAAUCUCCUUUCUCACUUCGCAGUAAUCAAAUCUAUGCUGUUCAUGCCCAACGACCAAUUCACUAGUUCAUAUUGGCAGUUUAGGUUUUGAGAUGUUAAGGGAAGAAGAAAAAGAUCAGGGAUCCAGUGUUGGUUGGAAGACGUUCUCGAGGUCGGUCUCAUGGACUGAGCGUCCACCGAGAAAAUCUAAUUCUAAUUCGCAAUGGAAUAGCAAGGCGAGGGCGUGUUUGUCACCUCUUCAGCCUCUUUCUAUUGCCCGACCAAGUAUUGAAGAAUGGCCAAGAGCUGGGUCAGAUGAUUUAGGUGUAUGGCCUGAUCCUCCGACUCCCGGUGCAAGGCCUGGAUCAAAAACACCGCGCGGAACCUCGAGUUCUGAUCUACCUCCAAGAGAGUUUAAGUGCAGGAAGGACAAGCUUGCGUUUUUUGACAAGGAGUGCUCAAGGAUUUUGGAUCAUAUAUAUUUGGGAAGUGACGUGAUUGCCAAGAACCGUGAGAUCCUCCGCCAGAGAGGGAUUACCCAUGUGCUGAACUGUGUGGGGUUUGUUUGCCCGGAAUAUUUCAGGAAUGAGCUCGUUUAUAAGACCCUUUGGCUACAGGACAGUCCGUCUGAGGAUAUCACUAGUAUUCUCUAUGAUGUGUUCGAUUACUUUGAAGAUAUUCGUGAACAAGGUGGGCGUGUCCUUGUCCACUGUUGUCAUGGGGUAUCUCGAUCAACCUCAUUGGUCAUUGCAUAUCUUAUGUGGAAAGAAGGGCAGAGUUUUGAUGAUGCUUUCCAACAUGUCAAAACAGCUAGAGGAGUGACUAAUCCGAACGUGGGAUUCGCUUGCCAACUUUUACAAUGCCAGAAGCGUGUGCAUGCUUUGCCUGCCAGCCCAACUUCUGUUCUUAGAAUGUAUCGUAUGGCACCUCACUCACCUUAUGACCCCCUUCAUCUUGUACCGAAAAUGUUAUGUGAAGCAGAAGCCAACAGGCUCGAUUCCCGUGGAGCGUUCAUAAUUCACAUUCCUUCUGCUUUAUAUAUCUGGAUAGGGAAGCACUGCUCCUCAGUGAUGUCUGACAAUGCAAGGGCAGCUGCUUCCCAAAUUAUUCGUUACGAGAGGUUUAAGGGUCCAGUUAUGUUCAUCAACGAAGGUGAAGAGACAGUUGAAUUUUGGGAUGCUUUUGGCCAUAGGAAAGGUCUGGCUGAAGGCUGUCAUGUGAAACCUGUGGAGAUAAAUGGGCUCUCUGCAGGGGUUGACAUGGCUACUGCUGUUCCAUGUCUGAAUCAAAGGAAACUUGAUGAGUAUGAUUUGGAUUUUGAUAUCUUCCACAUGGCACUUUCUGGUGGGGUCAUACCGCCUUGUCCAUCAUCUGAAACAGGAUCCGAGACAUGUAUUCCUUCCCGAGAGAAUGGUUGGAACAGAUUAAGAAGUAAGUUUACAGAUGACACUGUGAAGGAAUUUGCAACAGACUCUGUUGUCUUGCAGGGAUGUGAUAAAGUUGAACCGGUAGAUAUGUGUUCAGUGAAAGACACUGUCUCGUCUGCUGAUAUAUCGAGCUCUUCGAGUAUGAAGAAUGAUUCCAAGGAUCCAUUCGCUUCUUGUGUAUCCAGUAGCCUAGGUUCUGAUGCUUCUCUAGUGGACUCUCCACCGUUCAAUCUGGUGGAUUCUUUUUCCUCAUUCUUUGUUAGUAAAACGAAAUCGAACUCAACGUCGCCGUCAAUCUCACCUUCAACAUCUGAUUAUUCAAGUUCCUUUAGCUUCUCACCAUCGUCCUCUAAUUUGUCUGACUCGUCAUUUGUAUCUGCUCAACCAUCGCCUCACACACUUGAAUCAAGUGAUAGUGAUCAUAGUAAAAGAGGUCCUACAGAGGAAAGUCUUCGUUGUGUAGCUGAAAGUACAUGUUUACGUGACAUCGCAACUUCUCCUCUAUCAGGAGAAGCAACCUCCCCUUGUCAUGUUUCAAGAGCCGCUGGUUUAUGUUCAUCCUCUGGACAGAGUUUGCCCUCCCUUGCAGAGCGUAGAGGCAGCAGUCUUCCUUCUCGGAUGAUCUUGGCCUCCAUCGAUGAGGAGUCUCAUGUUUCAGAAAAUUUUCCAAGAUUCUUGGAAGAUGAUGCUGUCAAGGAUGUUGACUGUGAAAACUCCCAUCCUGGCGUUUCUCUGGAAAGUACAAAGGAAGAACCUAUUCGUGAUGCAAACGGCCAUGUUGCUGAUGUUGACUGUCCAACCACAUCUCCAGUUGAAAAGAAGGUGUAAUGGGACAUUGAAGGGAAGUCAUAGUUAGAUGAUUCAGUACAAACGUCAUAAUUUUCUCUUGAGGAGGCUUUCGGCAUAGGUGCUCUAGUUAAGAUAGUCAAGGAAGGUGAAGAACCAUUGUAGCUCCUCAAGCAUCUGGCGUGCUUCUUGUUAGACAAGUAUCUAGAUAGUGGGAUCGAGCAACGAUGAGAACCACCAUUCAGGUAGGCAGCAUCUUUAUUUUUUUCUCUUUCGAACCUUUGAUCACAGCUCUAAUGUUGACAGCUCUAAUGAGUUGCAGUGGCAUCCCAAAGCAGGAGAUGUAAUGACAGAAUUCAUUUUUAAUUCUAAAAACAGGGAAUAAUUGUGUAUGUUUAUAGGAAGGAUUUUAUACUACAAGUCUUCAUGUAAUAAGUGCUAUACCACCCUUUCUAUAAUCAUCUUCGUCUACUUAUGUCGCCA